UGCGUGGAGCUUCUCCCACCGCAUAGCUGUCCCUGCCUGUGAUCCUGGCACUGGGGGCCCGGAAGCAGGGAGAUCCUGAGCUUAUGGUGGGUCUCUGAGGCCACCCUGGAGUAUGUGAGACCCUGGCUCAAAGAAAAAAAAAAGCCUUUUGUCAUUUUAAACAUGUCCCUGAGCUUUAAACCUGACCUCUGAGUCAUGGUUUGGUGAUCAGCAUCUGCCGUGUAGAUGGUAGAGGGAGCCCACAGUUAAUCAUUGCUUUCUUAAUUAUUAACAGACUUGAAACCAAGGAGUCAGGCACAUUGUGAGUUAUUGCUAAUUGGUCUGAGAUCAGCAUUCCAAGUGGCUCAUCAAAACACAUCUUGGACCACCCUGGGAAAGGCCUGUCGGUCGGUCUCACUUUCCAAAACUUGGGCCAAAGUUUCCCCUGGCAGUUCCUGGGUGUGUUUUGUUUUUCAUUUAUUUGUUUCGAGAGACAAGGUCUUAGUAUGUUUCCCAGGCUGGCCUAGAACUCAGAUCCGCCAGCCUCUGUGUCUAUAGUGAUGGGAUUAGAGAUGUGCGCCCCAUACUUGGUGUCCACUAGCAUCUCAAACCCCUGUGUUACUGCUUAAGUCACUGAACAUAAUCGAUGAGACCUUUAAAAAAAAAUGACUGGGGAGCUGAGCCUGGUGACUUGGAAGCUAGCAGCAAGAGAAUCAGGAGUUCAAGGCCAUCCAAGGAUACAUAGCUAAUUUGAUCCAGGGCAACAUGAAGCAUCAAGGCUCUAUCUACGCGCACACACACACACACACACACACACACCCCAAAUAUGGGGGCUGUGGCUCAGUGAUAGAGUGCUUGCCUAGCAUAGAUGGGGCUCUGGUUCUGUUCCCAGUGCUGCAAAAAGAAAAGAUAAAUGCAUAUCAAACUAUAUUUUGUACUCCCUUAAAAUAACAUGGUUUUGUGCAAGCC
rnacentral:lncRNA from 1 species